CUCUUUGCCUGCUGCAAUCCAUGUAAGAUGUGACUUGUUCCUCCUUGCCUUCUGCCAUGAUUGUGAGGCCUCCACAGCCAUGCGGAACUGUUGAAAUACACACUACCUGAAGCUGGAUAACUCAUGAACUCUGUUGACAAUUAUAUUCUUUGUCUUUUUAAUUAACUCAUUUGGAGUUGGUGUCCUGAGGACCUAAGCCUAAGAAUCUUCAAGAUGGAAGAGUAGAGUGAACAAUGAAUGAGCCAGAGGGCUCUUGUCCUCUGUGUGCAGCUCUGGGCAGCCAGCAGGUGGAUAUGGGACUUGGCCUGCUGGAGGGGCCCUGGCAAGAGGAGCUGGCAGGAGCAGAUGGCAAAGUUCACUCACUCUGGGAGACACUGGCUUCCCUGUUGUGAGGACACUCAAGCAGCCCUAUUCAGAGGUCCAUGUGGUAAGGUACGAAGGCCUCCUGUCAAUUCUAGUGAGAAACCUAGGUUUCUUGCUAACAGCUAUGUGAGUGAGCCAUCUUGGAAGCAGAUUCUCCCACCCCAGAUGAGCCUUCGGAUGACUGGAGUUCUGGCUGACAUCUUGACUGCAAUCUCAUCAGAGACCUCAAGCCAAAAUUACCCCACUUCCAAAUUCCUGACCCUACAGAAACUGUGUGAGAUAAUAUAUGCUUAUUGUUUAAGCCACUAAGUUGUUCUUUUGGUGGGGGGGAUGGGUGAUUUGUUAUGCAACAACAGAAAACUAAUACAGAAAUUAUACCUGCCAUUAUCAAAGAGGCCUCCAGUGAGGGUUGAUGGUAUCCUUGAAUAUUUAGGGAAACUAAGCAUGUUAAGUGUAAAUACAGAAACUGUCUUUGUCAAAACUAAAUAAAGCAAGGGAAAUGGAACUUGA
ensembl:lncRNA LINC01705 long intergenic non-protein coding RNA 1705